rnacentral:ncRNA from 2 species
AAACCGAAUAGAGGUAGCGACGCAAAAGAGUAAUGCAUGGAGCUGGCAAGCGAUGAUAUGUACGAAAGGUAACCGUCGCCGAACGUAUAAACUGGCAAGUUUAUUUCGUGGGGAUAUAGAGAAUAUCUAUAUCACUCCUUCAUGAACAUGAAGUGGCGCUAUGACUUAU